UUCCUUGUUUGAUGGUGUAUGUUUCACCGUUUGGUUAAUAUAUACCUUGUCUCCUACCUGUGGGUUUUCCCUUGCUUGUAUGGUUGGGAUUGGAUGUCAGUCUCUAUUUUUAGUGUGACUGGUUGAGUCAAAAUUUGCCUUGAAAUCUCUGUGGGAGCAAAGUGGGCUUUAGAAGAUGGUGAGAGAGGUUCUGUGAUCAUAGAGCCUUCAGUCAAUGCAGCUGAAAGGGUGGAUGCAAUUUCUAUUUCUUUUCUGCAUGCCAAAACAGCUGGCAAGAGCCCAUAAUAACUAGUUGUAAUAUUAUCUGUUAAGGGAUAUUGGCCAAAACUUUGGCUUUUUAGCAGCUUAGAUCCACCCUUCAUAGUGAGACUCUGCCCUACUGUGCAGUGGAACUGUGCUUCCGUGAGGGCUGCAGGACAACCAAGCCAAGUUCCCUCAGUAGCGGAGGAACUGAGCAGCCAUGAAACCCUGGAGAAAAAAUGGUAUCAUGUUGUAAGAAUCUUGGACUGCCCAGAACUUCCCUGCCCCACAGUGUAACCUGUGUGGUUACAGCCUUAGAGAACUGUUUUAUGACAUUGCAAUGAUAGUGGAUUCUUCUUGCCUUUGCUGUUACAUAGCACAAUAUCUGUUACAUACCAGUGGUGUCUUCUAAAAAGGAACUCGCUCAGUGCUGAUCCUUCAGGGACAAGCAGUGUCCCCUGUCCCUAAGACAUGUAAAACAGUUAACAGAAUAAAUGUAUCCUCAAUUUGGUCAUUAUUACAACCUUAGCAUGAAAAACAUAGGAUACCAGAGUUUUAAAAAAGGUUUGUUUGCUUUUGUCCCCACUCCAUGAACUGUCUCCAAAAAAAAAAAAAAAGAAAAAGAAAAAAAAGUCUUCUGUAGAAAUAGAUCUUUGUAUGAAGAAAUACCCUUAUUUAUGGAAUUAAAAGAAAAAUUAAAAAAAACGUUCACCCAAACACCCAUUUUAGCAUCCCUUAGGUGAAGUAGAACUGGAAUCACUUCCAGAAAACAUUUAAAUAUUUUGAUUUUUUUGCAAUAUUAUUUGUUUUGAGACUCCACUCCCAGGAACGUCAUCUUAGCUUCACAAACAAAAUGUGGUUUUGGUAGUAAGUUCUUAUAUAAAAGAAUACUGGAAUUGAUUUUUGCCUCCACAUUAACUUCAUAGGCUGCUAAAUGUCAUGGACAGAAAACACAGUUUUAUUCUUCUAAUUCUGAGCUUCAAACUGAAACUAGAAACUAGUUUGAUUACCAUUCAGUUCCACUGAGAAACACUUCAUGGAAAUGGUGUAGAAGUAAAUGAGGGAUAUUUUGGUAAUGCUUUUAAUUGAAGACACUGGACUUCAGCAUAGAGCUGACAUAGAGCAUAGAGCCCACAAAGGAAUUUUACAGCUGGGGUAAGUGAUUUGUAUUGUUCGGAAGGGGCUGUUUGUUUAGCUUGUAGCCUGCCUGGAUCUGCCUGACAUCUCGUCUGUUUGUGAUU